rnacentral:rRNA from 1 species
GAUGAACGCUGGCGGCGUGCCUAAUACAUGCAAGUCGAGCGAACGGACGAGAAGCUUGCUUUUCUGAUGUUAGCGGCGGACGGGUGAGUAACACGUGGAUAACCUACCUAUAAGACUGGGAUAACUUCGGGAAACCGGAGCUAAUACCGGAUAAUAUUUUGAACCGCAUGGUUCAAAAGUGAAAGACGGUCUUGCUGUCACUUAUAGAUGGAUCCGCGCUGCAUUAGCUAGUCGGUAAGGUAACGGCUUACCAAGGCAACGAUGCAUAGCCGACCUGAGAGGGUGAUCGGCCACACUGGAGCUGAGACACGGUCCAGACUCCUACGGGAGGCAGCAGUAGGGAAUCUUCCGCAAUGGGCGAAAGCCUGACGGAGCAACGCCGCGUGAGUGAUGAAGGUCUUCGGAUCGUAAAACUCUGUUAUUAGGGAAGAACAUAUGUGUAAGUAACUGUGCACAUCUUGACGGUACCUAAUCAGAAAGCCACGGCUAACUACGUG